UUUUCAUUGGAGGUCAUGUUAGAUAAGGGAAUGGAUCUAAAUCAUUCAUGAAUGUGCACUCAUGAAUGCACACUCUGUCCCCCAGAGGGUCUGGUUUGAUUCCAGGACCAAAGUGCAUGGAUUCAAGUCCUACAGAACAAUAACUUCUUGCGUAGGCAACAUAUGACCUCUUACUAUCUAAGGAAAUGGGUAAAAUCCUACUCUCAAAGUAGUUUUGGGCCAAGCUGGAUGUAUAGCGAUUUGAAGAGAAGAUGGAUGAAAGAUACCCACGAGGAAAGCUACAUGGCCUCAUUGGCAGCUGUUCUUUUGCCCCUGUUUGCAAAUCAGAGGAAUAUAGCCCAUGAGCAAUAAAAACUCAAGAUGACUCGUUUGGGAUGAUAAAAGCCAUACUCAAUCACUCACCUAUCAAUGAAAA
rnacentral:lncRNA from 1 species